CAGGCAUGGAGAUUAUGGGAAGAUGGAAAAGCAACUGAACUGGUGGACUCUUCGAUAGUGGCAAGUUGCCCAUUUAAUGAAGUUCUACGGUGUAUCCAUGUGGGACUCUUGUGUGUUCAGGACAAUGCCAAUGAUAGGCCCCCGAUGUCAUCAGUUAUGUUUAUGUUAGAGAAUGAAAUCGCAGUCCUUCGGAAGCCAAAGCAACCUGUAUGUUUUGGUAUGAGUAAUUAUGGAGAUGGGCGAGCGGAGAGCAUAGAGAAUUCUGUAGAUGCAUCAAGUAUAACAAUACUCGAGGGUCGUUAA
rnacentral:rRNA from 1 species